rnacentral:rRNA from 1 species
CCAAUAGCGUAUAUUAAAGUUGUUGUGGUUAAAAAGCUCGUAGUUGAACCUUGGGCCUGGCUGGCCGGUCCGCCUCACCGCGUGUACUGGUCCGGCCGGGCCUUUCCCUCUGUGGAACCCCAUGCCCUUCACUGGGUGUGGCGGGGAAACAGGACUUUUACUGUGAAAAAAUUAGAGUGCUCCAGGCAGGCCUAUGCUCGAAUACAUUAGCAUGGAAUAAUAGAAUAGGACGUGUGGUUCUAUUUUGUUGGUUUCUAGGACCGCCGUAAUGAUUAAUAGGGACAGUCGGGGGCAUCAGUAGUCAAUUGUCAGAGGUGAAAUUCUUGGAUUUAUUGAAGACUAACUACUGCGAAAGCAUUUGCCAAGGAUGUUUUCAUUAAUCAGGAACGAAAGUUAGGGGAGCGAAGACGAUCAGAUACCGUCGUAGUCUUAACCAUAAACUAUGCCGACUAGGGAUCGGACGAUGUUAUAUUUUGACUCGUUCGGCACCUUACG